rnacentral:rRNA from 1 species
GACGAACGCUGGCGGCGUGCCUAAUACAUGCAAGUCGAACGCAGUGGGGACGGGUGAGUAACACGUGGGUAACCUCCCAUCAGAGGGGAUAACACUUGGAAACAGGUGCUAAACCGAUACUGAUGGAUGGACCCGCGGGGCAUUAGCUAGUUGGUGAGGUAACGGCUCACCAAGGCCACGAUGCAUAGCCUAGCGGAGAGAGUGAUCGGCAACCCGGGGACUAAGACACGGCCCAUUCUCCUACGGGAGGGAGCAGUAGGGAAUUUGCGGCAAUGGACGAAGGUCUGACCGCGCAACGCCGCGUGAGUGAAGAAGGUUUUCGGAUCGAAAAACUCUGUUGUUAGAGAAGCGGUAUCUAACCAGAAAGCCACGGCUAACUACGUGCCAGCAGCCGCGGUAAUUC